GAUCCUGGCUCAGGAUGAACGCUGGCGGCGUGCUUAACACAUGCAAGUCGAACGAAGAUGCCGGAGUGCUUGCACUUUGGCAGACUGAGUGGCGGACGGGUGAGUAACGCGUGGGUAACCUGCCUUAUACUGGGGGGAUUAACAGCCAGAAAUGGCUGCUAAUACCGCAUAAGCGCACAGAACCGCAUGGUUCCGUGUGAAAAACUCCGGUGGUAUAAGAUGGACCCGCGUUGGAUUAGCUAGUUGGCAGGGCAGCGGCCUACCAAGGCGACGAUCCAUAGCCGGCCUGAGAGGGUGAACGGCCACAUUGGGACUGAGACACGGCCCAGACUCCUACGGGAGGCAGCAGUGGGGAAUAUUGCACAAUGGGGGAAACCCUGAUGCAGCGACGCCGCGUGAAGGAAGAAGUAUCUCGGUAUGUAAACUUCUAUCAGCAGGGAAGAUAAUGACGGUACCUGACUAAGAAGCCCCGGCUAACUACGUG
rnacentral:rRNA from 1 species